rnacentral:rRNA from 1 species
GGCCUACCAUGGUUUUUACGGGUAACGGGGAAUUAGGGUUCGAUUCCGGAGAGGGAGCCUGAGAAACGGCUACCACAUCCAAGGAAGGCAGCAGGCGCGCAAAUUACCCAAUCCCGACACGGGGAGGUAGUGACAAUAAAUAACAAUACAGGGCUCUUUUGGGUCUUGUAAUUGGAAUGAGUACAAUUUAAAUCCCUUAACGAGGAACAAUUGGAGGGCAAGUCUGGUGCCAGCAGCCGCGGUAAUUCCAGCUCCAAUAGCGUAUAUUAAAGUUGUUGCAGUUAAAAAGCUCGUAGUUGAAUUUCGGGAUCAUCAUGUCGGUCGUGCCUCCGGUACGUACUGGCAUCGUUGAUUUCUACCUUCUGACGAACCAUGAUGUCAUUAAUUUGGUGUCAUGGGGAAUCAGGACUGUUACUUUGAAAAAAUUAGAGUGUUUAAAGCAGGCACACGCUUGAAUACAUUAGCAUGGAAUAAUGAAAUAGGACGUUUGACCCUAUUUUGUUGGUUUCUAGGAUCGACGUAAUGAUUAAUAGGGAUAGUUGGGGGCAUUAGUAUUCAAUUGUCAGAGGUGAAAUUCUUGGAUUUAUUGAAGACUAACUACUGCGAAAGCAUUUGCCAAGGAUGUUUUCAUUAAUCAAGAACGAAAGUUAGGGGAUCGAAGACGAUCAGAUACCGUCGUAGUCUUAACCAUAAACUAUGCCGACUAGGGAUCGGAUGAUGUUAAUUUUUAAUGACUCAUUCGGCGCCUUACG